UACGUAGGAUGCAAGCGUUGUCCGGAAUUAUUGGGCGUAAAGAGCGCGCAGGCGGUAUGACAAGUCAGAUGUGAAAGAGGCCGGCUUAACCGGCAAGGGUCAUUUGAAACUGUCAGACUAGAGUGCAGCAGAGGAUAGUGGAAUUCCCGGUGUAGUGGUGAAAUUCGUAGAUAUUGGGAAGAACACCGGUGGCGAAGGCGGCGAGCUGGUCCAUUACUGACGCUGAGGCGCGACAGCGUGGGGAGCAAACAGG
rnacentral:rRNA from 1 species